GAUGAAGAACGUACCGAAAUGCGAUAAGUAGUGUGAAUUGCAGAAUUCAGUGAAUCAUCGAAUCUUUGAACGCACAUUGCGCCCCUUGGUAUUCCAUGGGGCAUGCCUGUUCGAGCGUCAUUUGUACCUUCAAGCUUUGCUUGGUGUUGGGUGUUUGUCUCGCCUUUGCGUGUAGACUCGCCUUAAAAUAAUUGGCAGCCGGCGUAUUGAUUUCGGAGCGCAGUACAUCUCGCGCUUUGCACUCAUAACGACAGCGUCCAAAAGUACAUUUUACACUCUUGACCUCGGAUCAGGUAGGGAUACCCGCUGAACUUAAGCAUAUCAAUAAGCGGAGGA
rnacentral:misc_RNA from 1 species